rnacentral:rRNA from 1 species
CUGGCUCAGGAUUAACGCUGGCGGCGUGCCUAAUACAUGCAAGUCGAAUGGUAGUAGCAAUACAAACCAUGGCGAACGGGUGAGUAACACGUAGGCAACCCAACUUUAAGACGAGGAUAACCGUUGGAAACGACGGAUAAUACUGGAUAGGACAUCACGAAGGGCAUCCUUAGAUGUUUAAAGGUUACCAUGCCACUUAGAGAGGGGCCUGCGGCGCAUUAGCUAGUUGGUGAGAUAACAGCCCACCAAGGCGAUGAUGCGUAGCCGGACUGAGAGGUUGAACGGCCACAACGGAACUGAGAACGGUCCAUACUCCUACGGGAGGCAGCAGUAGGGAAUUUUCGGCAAUGGGCGGAAGCCUGACCGAGCAACGCCGCGUGAACGAAGAAGUUAUUCGUAAUGUAAAGUUCUUUAUCUGGGAAGAAAAACAAAUUGACGGUACCAGAUGAAUAAGCUCCGGCUAACUACGUGCCAGCCGCUGC